rnacentral:rRNA from 1 species
AACCAGACUCCUACGGGAGGCAGCAGUGGGGAAUAUUGCACAAUGGGGGAAACCCUGAUGCAGCGACGCCGCGUGAGCGAUGAAGUAUUUCGGUAUGUAAAGCUCUAUCAGCAGGGAAGAAAAUGACGGUACCUGACCAAGAAGCCCCGGCUAACUACGUGCCAGCAGCCGCGGUAAUACGUAGGGGGCAAGCGUUAUCCGGAUUCACUGGGCGUAAAGGGAGCGCAGGCGGCACGGCAAGUCUGGUGUGAAAGCCCGGGGCCCAACCCCGGGACUGCAUUGGAAACUGCCGGGCUGGAGUGCCGGAGGGGUAAGCGGAAUUCCUGGUGUAGCGGUGAAAUGCGCAGAUAUCAGGAAGAACACCGGUGGCGUAGGCGGCUUACUGGACGGCAACUGACGCUGAGGCUCGAAAGCGUGGGGAGCAAACAGGAUUAGAUACCCGUGUAC